GGGGGGGGGGGGGGGGGGGGGGGGGGGGGGGGGGGGGGGGGGGGGGGGGGGGGGCUGGGUGGUGUGGGGUUGGGGGGGGGCGGGUGGGUGGCAGGGGGAUAGCCUACCUGUAAGACUGGGAUGACUUCGGGGAGCCGGGGCUAGUCCCGGAUCAUGUAUUGAACCGCGUGGUUCAGUAGUGAAAGACGGUUUUGCUGUCACUUGUAGCUGGAUCCGCGCCGCAUUAGCUAGUUGGUAAGGUAAAGGCUUACCAAGGCAACGAUGCGUAGCCGACCUGAGAGGGUGAUCGGCCACACUGGAACUGAGACACGGUCCAGACUCCUACGGGAGGCAGCAGUAGGGAAUCUUCCGCAAUGGGCGAAAGCUUGACGGAGCAACGCCGCGUGAGUGAUGAAGGUCUUCGGAUCGUAAAACUCUGUUAUUAGGGAAGAACAAAUGUGUAAGUAACUAUGCACGUCUUGACGGUACCUAAUCAGAAAGCCACGGCUAACUACGUG
rnacentral:rRNA from 1 species